AAUGUAAUCGCUUCGCCAUUUUAUCUUGAUUAUUGUCCUCUAUUAACUCAGCACUUCAGAAAUAGCACUUUUUGUGAUGUCACAGUGACAAUCAAAGUCUAUUCAGUUCAUUUUUGUGCCAAAUUUGAAGAAAUUCUUUUUAAGAAUGGAAGAAAACCGAACUCCUCUGGUCACAGCUGUCACACAUACAUUUAAAGAAGAAGAAAAAAAAGUUCCUUCUAAUGUUCCCAACAUGUGGAUCUGGUCCUUCAUCAAAGUCAACGCAACAAGAGAGACGUUCUUCCCGGAGGACGAAGGCACGGAGGAAGCGCCUCGCUGCAGCGUCGCUCUUCAGCUCGUGGUCGCUCGGGGGGGCGAGGGCUCCACCUCGGCCCGCCGCCGCCGCCGCUGUCGAGCAAUCAUUUACGAGCCGUCAGAUUCUACGACCUGCAGCGGGCCGGUUUUAAAUACUACAAGACCCAAGAAACUCUGCCGCUGUCGCCAUGAAGAAGAACCCAGUCAGAGCCGUGAGUCAGAGGGAGCGUUGUUGUUGCAGUCGGGACACAAAACACGGUGCCACAGUUGGUGAAUUCGCCCCAAAAUCGAGCCAGAAUUUCAAAGGCAAUGGCUCUGUAAUGUGGAAGGAGUUGCUCGAAGUCAAGAACCCACAAGCGUUUCAGCAUCUUACAGCUCUUUUGGGUUUUUAUGUGGCACACAGCGCUACUCUUUGUUUUCCCUCUCACCAGUAAAAUAAAAAAAGCUGAGUCAGACAGCAACCUCCA